rnacentral:rRNA from 1 species
AUUGAACGCUGGCGGCAGGCCUAACACAUGCAAGUCGAGCGGUAGAGAGGUGCUUGCACCUCUUGAGAGCGGCGGACGGGUGAGUAAUGCCUAGGAAUCUGCCUGGUAGUGGGGGAUAACGCUCGGAAACGGACGCUAAUACCGCAUACGUCCUACGGGAGAAAGCAGGGGACCUUCGGGCCUUGCGCUAUCAGAUAAGCCUAGGUCGGAUUAGCUAGUUGGUGAGGUAAUGGCUCACCAAGGCGACGAUCCGUAACUGGUCUGAGAGGAUGAUCAGUCACACUGGAACUGAGACACGGUCCAGACUCCUACGGGAGGCAGCAGUGGGGAAUAUUGGACAAUGGGCGAAAGCCUGAUCCAGCCAUGCCGCGUGUGUGAAGAAGGUCUUCGGAUUGUAAAGCACUUUAAGUUGGGAGGAAGGGUCGUUACCUAAUACGUGACGAUUUUGACGUUACCGACAGAAUAAGCACCGGCUAACUCUGUGCCAGCCGUCGCGGUAAUAC